UUGUACAUUGCAUGUAUUUUUUUAUAACAGAGUAGAUUGACUUGGACUGAAUUGCACACAAUUUAUUUGAUAAAAGAGUAGAUAGACUUGGAAAGUUGGAGUGCAUUGCACGAAGUUUAUUUGUUAACGGAGUAGCUAGACUAGGAGUGAAUUGCAAGAAGUUUAUUUGUUAACGGAGUAGAUAGACUUGCAGUGCAUUUCAAGACGUUUAUUUGUUAACGGAUUAGGCACACUUGGAGCGCAUUACAAGACAUCAAUUUUGAUAACGGAGUAGAUAGACUUGGAGUGCUCAGCAAGAAGUUUAUUUAGAUAACGGAGUAGAAAGACUGGAGUGCACUGCAAGAAGGUUAUUUUGAUAGCAGAGUAGAUAGACUUGGAGUGAAUGGCAUAAAGUUUGUUUUGUUUAUGGAGUAGAUAAAAUUGGAGUACAUUGCGAGACGUUUAGUCUAAUAACGGAGUAGAUAGACUCGGAGUGGACGUUGUGUAAUUGUUAAGCUUCUCUCUAUGUAUAUCUACUCCGUGAUCAGAAUGUUUUCUAGUUCACAGUGUACGUUGUAUUCUUGUUUAAUUUGACAGAGUUGUGAACUGGAGGCUUUAACACCAUAGAUUGUUUUAAUCCAGAAGCAUGCAGCUAUCAGGCACAUACAAGAAAAAUACGGCUCUGUCCUGGGAAGAUGGGAUCAAAGUAAUACGAGAGAAGCAGGAAUCCGGUUUAAUGUUAGCCUACAAAUCUUUCUAUACAGCUCCUGGUCACUAUAGGAACACCUUUCCCGGAGGGGAAUCCCUUAAGAUCAGCAGCGUUGAUCAGAUCAAGAUGACUCCUGAAGAGCUACGUUACCACCAGAUGGCAGUGUUUGAAUUUAUAGGAACUGGAGAAGUAAUUAACUGGAAACAUAAACGGGAGACGGAGCAAGAAUUUAAAGAAUGGGUAACCGAGAAAGGAAACAAUGAUAAAAUAUCAGAGCUUGCAGUCCUGAAGAGAGGGAGGGUGAUGAACCGAAAAAUUGGAGCGAGUAAAAAAAUGGUGCAAGUACCAUUGAAAACGGGAGAGGCAAGGAAAAGAAGCAACAAAUAUCAAACUGAGGGAUACAUAAAGGUUUUCAAUCCUUCCCUCCACACUGAUAUGCUGACCCCUAUCUUUAUCCCUCCCAUCCAUACUUCAUCUUCUCCACCAGCAAACCCAGCAACUAUAAGUAAUGCGGAUACGUUGAGAUAUCAUGGGAGUACUCUAUAACUGUACACAUAAUUUGUUAAAUAAAAAGACGAUAGUUACACGAGUUCGACCCUCAGACAGGAGCAACGAGACUUCUCUCAGGGUCGGAGAAGCCCCUGGAAGUCCAAGAUGAAUGGGGUAAAGAUACCAACAAGGUUUUUCAAUUAAAACGCACCGAGGAAGUCAAAUAUCCCUGUGAUCCUGUGAUACAACCAAUGUUUUCCCAAAGUUCAGUCAGAAAUAGUAUUCUCCGUCAGUCUAUUAGAAAGAAACAAUUUUUUAAAUCCAUGAUAUCUGAUAGAUUAGAUCUAGACCUGGACGGGAAAAAUCUCUUCUCCUUGAGCAGGUUCAGCUUGUCAGAUCAGAUAAUAAGUGAGAGCGUAGAGGACUCCGAGGAGGGUGGAAGUAGUGACCUGGAGAACCAAAGUGAAGGAGAUUUAAAUUGUUCACCCUCCAGAGUAUCAUCCCUAUCUUGCUACUCUCUAGAUAGUCUAGAGCAGCGGAAUAUAAACAGCUUCUUUACGUGAAGCUCUAAACUGGAUCAAAAUUGUCAUAAAUAAAGUAUAUAAACAUUUAUUCUAUUCUAGAUAAAAUAAAAGUUUCCAUUUGUAAUCUUAA
rnacentral:misc_RNA from 1 species